rnacentral:rRNA from 1 species
UACGGAGGGGGCUAGCGUUGUUCGGAAUUCCUGGGCGUAAAGCGCACGUAGGCGGCUUUGUAAGUUAGAGGUGAAAGCCCGGGGCUCAACUCCGGAAUUGCCUUUAAGACUGCAUCGCUAGAAUUGUGGAGAGGUAAGUGGAAUUCCGAGUGUAGAGGUGAAAUUCGUAGAUAUUCGGAAGAACACCAGUGGCGAAGGCGACUUACUGGACAACUGUUGACGCUGAGGUGCGAAAGCGUGGGGAGCAAACAGG